rnacentral:lncRNA from 1 species
UUUUCCUUAAUUUCUUAUGUUCUUACCUAAAAUCUUUUACUUCCACAAUUUGAGGUCACCAAUUCAAUCUCCCUCCUUAGUUCCAAGGGACAACAAGUGGUAUCAAAGCAAAGUCACUCUUAUCAAGCUUAAUUGCAAGUGCAAAGAUCAUGGCAACUAACGAAGGAGCCUAAUACCUCAAGCCAUUCUUCGACCGAUCCGAUUAUGCUUUUCAGAAAUUUUGUAUAGAAAUUUAUUUGGAUUAUGUGAUGAAGGAACGAAAAGCUCUCACCAAAAUAAAGAAUGAAAAAGAAAGAAUUCUUCUUAGAGAAGAGUGGGUUAAUGCUCACAAGAAGCAUAACCAUAAGAAUAAGCAAGCAAUAGCUAUACUUAUGAGUUGUCUCUCUCGAGAAGAGUGUGCGAGAGUGCAACAUUGACGAUGGCUCAUCAAAUUUGGACUACCUUAGAGAAUUACCAUGAUGACUGAGUAUUUAUGUGAUAGAGCAUCAAAGGAACAAGCCUAUCCCAAACAUUAAAGCCUUGAAGCAAAUCUUGUAAAUUUACCUCAAAAGCGCGAGGACGCUCCAAAGGCACGGGGCGCUUUUCAUACGGUGAAAAGUUUGCAAGAUGUUGAAAAUUUCACUUGACAGAAGUCUAAUAAUCUCAUGACACUUGGCAGUCAAAGUGUCCAAACUCCAAGAAGCGCGACAGCGCCUCACUUUAGGUGUUGAGAUAAAUUCUGGUAGACGAUAGCGCGAUGAGAAGCGUGGGGGUACUUCUGAGCGCGGUCAAAGCAAGCGCGAUGGUACUACUGUGGCGCGGGGGCGAUUUUCACAAUUAAUGCGAUGUCAGUAACAGUUGAGAUAGCAGCCACCCUAUUUGUGCCACGUGGCUGGAGCCAUUGGAGUUCCAAUGUCUCUUUUCAGAAAGCACGAGCGCGCUUGGGAAGCACAGGGGCACUUCCCAUGACUUUAGGCAAUUUUUACCAAGUUAACAAAUCUUGUAUUGAAGGAGUUUUGACUUCAUAAAUACCUAUUUUAAAGACUCAAAAACCAAGUGUGUGAAUUAGAUAAUACCAAAACUCUUGCAAAUUCAUUUUUCAAUCUUUU